UACUAAUGCAACUGCGAAUAGCUGUUUAAUACAGUCGCAAUUGUAUUGACUUUGUAAGUUAUAAGAUGUUAUGUUAGGAUAACUAAGGGAAAGUUUGGCUAAUACGUUUAAUUUUACACAUGUAAAUAUGCAUAUAAUAAUAUUGCAACAUGAUAGAUAUUAUAUAAAUAUAAAUAUAAAUAUUUAUUUAUAUUAAUAUAGAGCAGACUUUAUAAUAUUUAUUUAUUAUAAAGCAUGUCAAACAAGCAUCUAUAGCAUCAAGUCACAAUGUUGGCAUGUGUAUUAUUGAACCUUCAAAGCAUUUACGCAUUCGGAGGAGUAGUUUCUGAUCCCGUCGAAGGUGCCUGAGAGACGGCACUUAGUUCUAAGGAACGCAGCAGGCGCGUAAAUUGCCCAAUGACAAAACAUAUAAUUGAGGCAGUGACAAGCUGUAAAGAUUGAAUAUAUUAAUUAAGAUAACAUUUGGAAUUGUCGCUUUGUAAUAUUUUAAUAUUAUAUUGCUUGAUAAUAUACCAAUGUUAUAAAAUAUUCAAUUUGAAUGCGGUGAAUAUAAUAAUUUCAAGUAACAUGUAUAAAAUAUUUAUUAUUUUAUAUGUUAUCUGAAUAUUCAAGUGGAGGGCAAGUCUGGUGCCAGCAGCCGCGGUAAUACCAGCUCCACUAGCUUAUACAAUCAUUGUUGCGGUUAAGAGGCUCGUAGUUGGAUUGAAUAUAACAAUUAAUACUGUGAACAAACCAGAGUGUAUAAAACAUGUAAUAUUAUAUAUAUUAUGCAAUGAAUGUUUUAUCAUGGAAUAUUGUUUAUUUCGAUGGAGAUAGUUGGAGUUAAGAGUACUUAUAGGCGAGCGGUGAAAUGCAUUGACCCUAUUAAGACUAACAAAAGCGAAAGCACUUAACUAGAUUAUACUCUUUGUAUAUUAUUACAAUGAAGAGCGAAGGUUGGGGGAACAAAGAGGAUCAGAUACCCUCGUAGUCCUAUUUUUUACAUCAAACUAUGGGAUUUCAAUUGAAUAAUAUAUUAUUCUUAAUACCCCUAACAUAUUUAAUAUUUAUUGAUUGAGAUAAUUAAUAUAUUUAUCUCUCAUAAAAUAUAAAAUAAUAUAGUGGUACAAUAUUUAUUAUAUGUACUUUGAGCUCAUAUAAUUAAUAUAGGUGAGAUGUAAGCAUUAUAGGUGAACAAUAUAUUUAUAUUAUAAAUAUUAUUGGAAUCCUUAUAAAUAAAUGUAAUGUGAUGCACGUUUUAGGUACGAGCUUACUAUAGAAAUAUUUAAAAUAAUACCCUCCUGGGGUAGUAUGCACGNNNGUGUGAAACUUGAAGGAAUUGACGGAAGGGCACCACAAGAACGCGUGGAGCAUGUGGCUUAAUUUGACUCAACCCGGGAAAUCUUACCAGGUCCAGACAUAUUGAGGAUUGACAGGUGAUAGUUUAUAUACUUAGUAUAUAAGCAUAAAUGUGAUAGUCCUUUCAUGAUUAUAUGAUAGGUGGUGCAUGGCCGUUCUUAGUUCGUGGAGUGAUUUGUCUGCUUANUUGCGUUUCAGUAAAUAAAAUAUAUAUAAUGUAUUAAUAUUUUAGUUCUGCCUUUAUGGAUUUAAAGUGAACAAUAUUAUACAUAUAUAUUAAUAUAUGAAUGC
rnacentral:rRNA from 1 species